rnacentral:rRNA from 1 species
CCUACGGGAGGCAGCAGUAGGGAAUCUUCCACAAUGGACGAAAGUCUGAUGGAGCAACGCCGCGUGAGCGAUGAAGGCCUUCGGGUCGUAAAGCUCUGUUGUUAGGGAAGAACAAGUACCGGAGUAACUGCCGGUACCUUGACGGUACCUAACCAGAAAGCCACGGCUAACUACGUGCCAGCAGCCGCGGUAAUACGUAGGUGGCAAGCGUUGUCCGGAAUUAUUGGGCGUAAAGCGCGCGCAGGCGGUCCUUUAAGUCUGAUGUGAAAGCCCACGGCUCAACCGUGGAGGGUCAUUGGAAACUGGGGGACUUGAGUGCAGAAGAGGAAAGCGGAAUUCCACGUGUAGCGGUGAAAUGCGUAGAGAUGUGGAGGAACACCAGUGGCGAAGGCGGCUUUCUGGUCUGUAACUGACGCUGAGGCGCGAAAGCGUGGGGAGCAAACAGGAUUAGAUACCCUGGUAGUCCACGCCGUAAACGAUGAGUGCUAAGUGUUAGAGGGUUUCCGCCCUUUAGUGCUGCAGCUAACGCAUUAAGCACUCCGCCUGGGGAGUACGGCCGCAAGGCUGAAACUCAAAGGAAUUGACGG